GGUAGGAGACAGAGUAGGAAGAGAGGGAUACAACAGGGACCAGGUAGGAGGUAGGAGACAGAGUAGGAAGAGAGGGAUACAACAGGGACCAGGUAGGAGGUAGGAGGUAGGAGACACAGUAGAAAGGGAGGGAUACAACAGGGACCGGGUAGGAGGUAGGAGACAGAGUAGGAAGAGAGGGAUACAACAGGGACCGGGUAGGAGGUAGGAGACAGAGUAGAAAGGGAGGGAUACAACAGGGACCGGGUAGGAGGUAGGAGACAGAGUAGAAAGAGAGGGAUACAACAGGGACCAGGUAGGAGGUAGGAGACAGAGUAGAAAGGGAGGGAUACAACAGGGACCAGGUAGGAGGUAGGAGACAGAGUAGGAAGAGAGGGAUACAACAGGGACCGGGUAGGAGGUAGGAGACAGAGUAGGAAGAGAGGGAUACAACAGGGACCGGGUAGGAGGUAGGAGACAGAGUAGAAAGAGAGGGAUACAACAGGGACCAGGUAGGAGGUAGGAGGUAGGAGACACAGUAGAAAGGGAGGGAUACAACAGGGACCGGGUAGGAGGUAGGAGACAGAGUAGAAAGGGAGGGAUACAACAGGGACCGGGUAGGAGGUAGGAGACAGAGUAGAAAGAGAGGGAUACAACAGGGACCGGGUAGGAGGUAGGAGACAGAGUAGAAAGAGAGGGAUACAACAGGGACCAGGUAGGAGGUAGGAGACAGAGUAGAAAGGGAGGGAUACAACAGGGACCGGGUAGGAGACAGAGCAGAAAGAGAGGGAUACAACAGGGACCGGGUAGGAGGUAGGAGACAGAGUAGAAAGGGAGGGAUACAACAGGGACCAGGUAGGAGGUAGGAGACAGAGUAGGAAGAGAGGGAUACAACAGGGACCGGGUAGGAGGUAGGAGACAGAGUAGGAAGAGAGGGAUACAACAGGGACCGGGUAGGAGGUAGGAGACAGAGUAGAAAGAGAGGGAUACAACAGGGACCAGGUAGGAGGUAGGAGGUAGGAGACACAGUAGAAAGGGAGGGAUACAACAGGGACCGGGUAGGAGGUAGGAGACAGAGUAGAAAGGGAGGGAUACAACAGGGACCGGGUAGGAGGUAGGAGA